rnacentral:rRNA from 1 species
UACAUAGGUCUCAAGCGUUGUUCGGAUUCAUUGGGCGUAAAGGGUGUGUAGGUGGCGCGCUAAGUCGGGUGUGAAAUUUCGGAGCUUAACUCCGAAACUGCAUUCGAUACUGGCGUGCUUGAGGACUGGAGAGGAGACUGGAAUUCAUGGUGUAGCAGUGAAAUGCGUAGAGAUCAGGAGGAAGACCAGUGGCGAAGGCGGGUCUCUGGACAAAUCCUGACGCUGAGGCGCGAAGGCUAGGGGAGCAAACGGG